ACACACAAAGGCGCGCACUUACAAAAAUACAUUCCUAUAUGGGUGUCGACCUUUCGUUAUGCUUUUGGUAGUUGGUGGAAGAAAAUGACGGCCCUGAUCGGCGCGCUCUCUCUUCUUUUUCAAUGAUUGGUUUAACAUCUUCGCCAAGGCUCUGUACAAUCGCUGAAUCGCAUAUGGACAGCACUGAAUCGCGAGUGCCCAGAGUCAAACUUGGUCGUCAAGGCUUGGAGAAAAAGGAUAAUCAUUAAUCGAAUAAACAAAGUGAAGCCAUGAGCCAGUGGCAAAGGCAUACAAAGUAAAAGAGAGAAACUACUAAACUAGCCUAUUCCUUCACGGUCCCGGUCCAUUGUGGCAUCAGAUUGCAGGGAUCUGUUGAGAGAUAUUGAGUCCUUAGAGAUAAUGGCGAGAAGAGAGGGUGAUGGGUCAAAAACCCAACCAGAUGGUUCCACCCCCUUAGAUGCAGUGGCUGCAAGAAAAUAUGCGGCGGCGUUCCCUGAUCGUUUGACCAGAGAGAGAUGAAGCGAUGAGAAGGACUCCAAGGAUUCCAAUAGCUCAGCCAGUAGAUUAUGCCAAGUCCAAUUGCAGCGAUCCCCUCCAUUGGAUGAUAAAGCUUUGUGUAGUUAUUGACAGUCCAGCUCAAGUAUAAAUGGUUGAUGGAUAGAUUCUGUCAUGAGUAAUAAGGCUUUCUUGCAAGCAAGAACUUCAGCCAUGAAGCCUGAUGAAGCUUGAACAGAUUCACACCAACCUUAGAUAAAUGAGCUAUCUGAUGACCUCCAUAUUAUUCCUGUACCAGAAUUUCCUGAAGAAGCCAGAAAAGAUCCAUCACAAUUGACUUUGAUCAAACCUAAUGGAGGAGGAGACCAUGUGCUUGGAGUAAAAACAGGGCUUGUAUAGUGAGGCUUAUCAAUAAAGUUGGCUGACCAGUAAUCCCAUGUAGCAGCAUCCGUAUGAGAAUGAGAGACCACCUGAAAAGGAUCAAUGACUGCACCAGCGAAGAUUGAGGCAGAUCUCAUCUUCCAGAUGUUCUAACAUAGGUUAGCAAUGUAUGUCUUACCAUAAUCAUCUGUGUAGUUUUCGCUCAUGAGUAGGGCAUAACACGAACGAUCAAAGGAGGUGAUGUCAGCAACAUUAAUGGCGAUAGUGAGAUAACUCCCAUACCAUGCCUGUCUAGCCCAAUCACACAACAGGAGGAGAUGUUCAAUGAACUCAGGGUAAUUAUGGCAGAUUGGGCAUAAAGGAUCUACAGCACAUUUUUGAUUAUACAAUGCCUCUUUAGUGGCAAGCGCAUCAUUGAUUACUUGCCACAUAAAAUGCUUGACCUUCAGUUGUUGUUUUAGAUGCCAUAGGCCCUGCUAGAUAUCAUGGGGUAGAGACGCGGAGGAGCUUGUAGAUGCACUAACAAGUUGUGGGGAUUGAGCCACCAAUAAUCUGUAACCAAGCUUGGCCGAAUAAGUACCAUUGUUAGCAGCAGCCCACGCACCAGUAUCAAUAAUCGAGUUCAUUGGAAUUGGAAUUUUCAAAAUGUGAGUGAUAGUUUCAGAGGUAUAGGAGGUUGAAAUGGGUGUUAAAUUCCAUUGACCUCGUGAAAUCAGAUUAAAAACCUUUAGGGUUUUAUAAAUUACAGCACCUACAACAGGGAUAGCUUUGCAGUUUGGUGAGGCAGGAAUCCAUGGGUCCUCCCACGAGCUAAUGUCAUUACCAUUUUCAACUUUCCAGCAAAAAUCUUUCAACAACAUGUCUCUACCCGGAAGCAAGCUACUCCAAGCCCAAGAGGCUUUUGGACCAUGUUCAGCAGCGAGAAAAGACCUGUUAGGGAAAUAGAUGCUUUUUAAUACCUUUACCCAGAGCUGAUCAGGGUUGGUAAGAAGUCGCCAUGCAGAUUUGGCUAGAAGGGCAUCAUUAAAUUUCAUGAAAUCUCGAAAACCCACCUUCCAUCUUUUUUUGCCUUACAGAGCUUAUUCCAAGCCUUCCAAUGGAUACUGUUUCGACUCAUGAAGUUUCUGCAGUGGGUUUUGGAUGCGGAGGAUUAUCUGGAGUUUAUAAUGCCCCUCUUUCACAUGAAGCAGGAUGCUCAGUUAUUAGGGAAGCAUUCAGUAAGGGUGUAACCUUCUUUGAUACAUCUGAUGCUUAUGGAGAUGAACAUGAUAACGAAAUCAUGGUUGGCAAGGCUUUAAAAGAACUGCCUCGGGAAAGAGUUCAACUGGCUGCUAAAUUUGGUAUAGUUGUGUCUGAAGGGAUGCAAUUCAGCAUCAAAGGCACGCCUGAAUAUGUAAGGGAGUGCUGUGAAGCUAGUCUUAAGCGACUUGAUGUCAAUUAUAUUGAUUUAUACUAUCAGCAUGGAAUUGACACUUCUGUGCCAAUUGAGGACAGAGUUUUUAGGUGCAUCUGUUCUUGUACGAGCAAUGCAUACCUUUCCUCUACUUCUAAACUGUGAAUGCUUGUGCUGUUUAUACUGACCACAUUGGGGAAGAUAGGGGAACUUAAAAAAAAAAUGGCAAAUGAAGGAAAGGUAAGAUACAUUGGGUUGUCAGAGGCUAAUGCUGAUACUAUAAGGAGAGCACAGGCUGUUCAUCCUAUCACUGCUCUACAAAUGGAGUAUUCCUUUUGGACCCGUGAAAUUGAAGAAGAGAUUAUUCCACUUUGCCAGGGAUCGGAAUUGUGGCAUAUAGCCCUCUUGGUCGAGGCUUUCUUGCAGGGAAAGCAGUGGAUGAGAGUUUGCCUAGUCAAAGCCAUUUGGCUACGCAUCCAAAGUUCAGUGGAGAAAUUCUGGAAUUGAACAUGUUAUACAAACGAUUUUCUGACUUGGCUUCUAAACAUGAUUGCACUCCUUCACAGUUAGCUUUAGCAUGGCUUCUCCAUCAGGGCAAUGAUAUAGCUCCUAUCCCUGGUAGUGUCACCCUACACUUAAAGCAUUUCAAUUUUUUUUUUUUAAUUUUGGUUUGUUAUGGAUGUUAUGAGUAAGCUUUAACUUGAUGGUUCAUGAUAUGACUUCAGCAUAUUUAUGGCCAGGCGUCCAAUGUAAGCCUUUGCUUAACAGUGAAGUAUUUGACCUGAUGUCAGAAUCUUAUGACCAAACAAUCAGGAAUGUCAAUCUCCUUAACAUAAAUUUAUAGUGGGGCUAUGUUUUGCCCGCUUCAAUCUCAUAGGCAGUAAAUAUAUUAAUGAAAUCAAUCAUAGGCCUUUACUUGAUGGUUUGAGUUA